CAGCAGCCGCUGGAAUACGUAGGGCGCAAGCGUUGUCCGGAAUUAUUGGGCGUAAAGAGCUCGUAGGCGGUCUGUCGCGUCUGGUGUGAAAUCCCGAGGCUCAACCUCGGGCUUGCAUCGGGUACGGGCAGACUAGAGUGCGGUAGGGGAGACUGGAAUUCCUGGUGUAGCGGUGGAAUGCGCAGAUAUCAGGAGGAACACCGAUGGCGAAGGCAGGUCUCUGGGCCGCAACUGACGCUGAGGAGCGAAAGCAUGGGGAGCGAACAGGAUUAGAUACCCCCGUAGUCCCUGUCUCUUAUAC
rnacentral:rRNA from 1 species